rnacentral:rRNA from 1 species
UACGAGGGGGGCGAGCGUUGUUCGGAAUUAUUGGGCGUAAAGGGUGCGUAGGCGGUUUGGUAAGUCUUAUGUGAAAUCUAUGGGCUCAACUCAUAGUCUGCAUGAGAAACUGCCGGGCUUGAGUAUGGGAGAGGUGAGUGGAAUUCCUGGUGUAGCGGUGAAAUGCGCAGAUAUCGGGAGGAACACCGGUGGCGAAGGCGGUUCUCUGGGCCUUACCUGACACUGAGGAGCGAAAGCGUGGGGAGCGAACAGG